rnacentral:rRNA from 1 species
GUGAGGAAUUUUCCGCAAUGGGCGAAAGCCUGACGGAGCAAUGCCGCGUGAAGGAUGAAGGCCUAUGGGUUGUAAACUUCUUUUCUUAGAGAAGAAUAUUGACGGUAUCUGAGGAAUAAGCAUCGGCUAACUCUGUGCCAGCAGCCGCGGUAAGACAGAAGAUGCAAGCGUUAUCCGGAAUGAUUGGGCGUAAAGCGUCUGUAGGUGGCUUCAAAAGUCUCCUGUCAAAGAUCAGGGCUUAACCCUGGGCCGGCGGGAGAAACUCUGAGGCUAGAGUUUGGUAGGGGCAGAGGGAAUUCCCGGUGGAGCGGUGAAAUGCGUAGAGAUCGGGAGGAACACCAAAGGCGAAAGCACUCUGCUGGGCCACAACUGACACUGAGAGACGAAAGCGAGGGGAGCAAAAGGGAUUAGAAACCCGGGUAGUCC